rnacentral:rRNA from 1 species
GAUGAACGCUAGCGACAGGCUUAACACAUGCAAGUCGAGGGGCAGCGGGGAUUGUAGCAAUACAAUUUGCCGGCGACCGGCGCACGGGUGAGUAACGCGUAUGCAACCUACCUAUCAGAGGGGGAUAGCCCAUUGAAAGAUGGAUUAAUACCGCAUAAAACAGGGAUUCCGCAUGGAAAUAUUUGUUAAAGAUUUAUUGCUGAUAGAUGGGCAUGCGUUCCAUUAGUUAGUUGGUAAGGUAACGGCUUACCAAGACAUCGAUGGAUAGGGGUUCUGAGAGGAAGGUCCCCCACACUGGUACUGAGACACGGACCAGACUCCUACGGGAGGCAGCAGUGAGGAAUAUUGGUCAAUGGACGCAAGUCUGAACCAGCCAAGUCGCGUGAAGGAUGACUGCCCUAUGGGUUGUAAACUUCUUUUGUACAGGAAUAAAACGUCUUACGUGUAAGAUUUUGUAUGUACUGUACGAAUAAGCAUCGGCUAACUCCGUGCCAGCCGCCGCGGUAAAAC